rnacentral:rRNA from 1 species
CCUCGGGAGGCAGCAGUGGGGAAUAUUGCACAAUGGGGGGAACCCUGAUGCAGCGACGCCGCGUGAGUGAAGAAGUAUUUCGGUAUGUAAAGCUCUAUCAGCAGGGAAGAAAAUGACGGUACCUGACUAAGAAGCCCCGGCUAACUACGUGCCAGCAGCCGCGGUAAUACGUAGGGGGCAAGCGUUAUCCGGAUUUACUGGGUGUAAAGGGAGCGCAGACGGCUGUGCAAGUCUGGAGUGAAAGGCGGGGGCCCAACCCCCGGACUGCUCUGGAAACUGUAAAGCUGGAGUGCAGGAGAGGUGAGCGGAAUUCCUAGUGUAGCGGUGAAAUGCGUAGAUAUUAGGAGGAACACCAGUGGCGAAGGCGGCUUACUAAACUGCCACUGACAUUGAUGCUCGAAAGUGUGGGUAUCAAACAGGAUUAGAUACCCUUGUAGUC